rnacentral:lncRNA from 10 species
CUCCUCCUUCCGGGUUCAAACAAUUCUUCCACCUCAGCCUCCCAUGUAGCCAGGAUGAUAGGUGUGCACCAUCAUACCUGGGUAAUUUUUUUCACAGCAGCCUUCUUUUAUCUUAACACAAGUUACCAGUGUAUACAUAAGAAGCUGUGAACAGAAGCUCUUUAUGAUAUUCAUAUACAAAGCUGCUGAGAAACAGCCUCAACAAUGCCAAUCAAAGAGCAAAACAUUGGGUUAGUUUUCAAACUAAAUGAGCUGCUUUGCCCUCCAUGCCAACUAUUAAGCAAUAGGCCCUUUUAUGUCUUUCCCAUUCAUUACUGACUAAUGCAGCAGUUCUCAACAUUCUCACUAGUCCCAUGAUCACUCAAUUUUUUUUCCCUAUUCUUUUAAAUAACUCUAUUUGGUUACAGAUAAAAUGAGCAAGUUGACAGCAUACAAGUUUUCUUUAAGUUCUUAAUUUUUAAGAAGUAUUGUGUAAUUUUAUUUUCUAAUUUUGGUAUUUUUUUCAAUAAAAUGUUUUUUAAAACAUUUAAACAAAUCAUAUAAUAGCUGACCUGGUAUCGAAUGCUGUACUUAGACAUUCCUAAACCAUUAUUUUUUAUAUUUCAAACUAAGUUUAAACAAAAACUUUAUUAUUAUUGAACGAAUAUCCAAGGAUCUUAAAGAAAUCAAUCGAAGUGUGAUACAGUCUAGUGUUU